UGAUAUCAUUAUUUUGGCUUUCGUUUUAACUUAUUUUUAAAACGAAUCUAAUGAUGCAAAAAUCAUUCAUAUAAGAUUUGUUUGUUCACACUUCAGUAGCUUUUACCAUACAGUUCUCAAACAGAAAAAAAAAAUGCCGUUGCGACCUUCCAUCACCCCCGACUUACCGACUACCGCGAAACAUUCACCGCCAUAAACUACAUUCAGUCGUUCACCGUCAUAAACAACGAAAUAAAAAGCGCUCCUCAUCAUGGGUUGCAAAUCCGAACCCUAAUUCCAGAAAAUCCUCCCUGCUUUCAAUCUCCCCUGUGAAAACCUUACAAUUCCGAUUCUAAACCCUAACCCAAGACUAUGUUCAUCCUUUUUCUUGUUCGGCCAAUUUCUCCGUUCGGUUUCACGAAUUCGUCGAUCAAAAUCUUCAAUUUAGCGAAAAACAAUGUACAUUUAACUUCUAUCUACUUGUUUGAGGCAACGAAUUAGUAUCGAAUGGUAAUUCAACGGUUACACCAGUGUCGAUUUGGUACAUUCGUCUAUUUUACGGCGUGUGGAUGGUGAUGAAGAAGUGCGAGGAAUUCAUCUAAGGCUCGCCUAUUUGGGAUAGCGUGGAAUAGGAAGGCUAACACAUGAAGCUUCUUCCUUAUGGGUCGUAGACUCGUUGUGAUGUUAAAUGGGCUUCUUGUAUUUGGAUAAUUAUUCUUAGAGAAAUUAUGUUUUUAAUUUUUACCCUUAAUAGAGUUUGAAGUGGAUUUUGGUGA